rnacentral:misc_RNA from 3 species
AACGCACAUUGCGCCCGCCAGUAUUCUGGCGGGCAUGCCUGUUCGAGCGUCAUUUCAACCCUCAAGCCCCCGGGCUUGGUGUUGGGGAUCGGCGUGCCCUCGUGGCGCGCCGUCCCCUAAAUCUAGUGGCGGUCUCGCUGUAGCUUCCUCUGCGUAGUAGCAACACUCGCACUGGAUCGCAGCGCGGCCACGCCGUUAAACCCCCCACUUCUGAAAGUUUGACCUCGGAUCAGGUAGGAAUACCCGCUGAACUUAA